rnacentral:rRNA from 1 species
AUUGAACGCUGGCGGCAUGCCUUACACAUGCAAGUCGAACGGUAACGCGGGGCAACCUGGCGACGAGUGGCGAACGGGUGAGUAAUACAUCGGAACGUGCCCAGUAGUGGGGGAUAGCCCGGCGAAAGCCGGAUUAAUACCGAAUACGACCUAAGGGUGAAAGCGGGGGAUCGCAAGACCUCGCGCGAAUGGAGCGGCCGAUAUCAGAUUAGGUAGUUGGUGAGGUAAAGGCUCACAAAGCCGACGAUCUGUAGCUGGUCUGAGAGGACGACCAGCCACACUGGGACUGAGACACGGCCCAGACUCCUACGGGAGGCAGCAGUGGGGAAUUUUGGACAAUGGGCGCAAGCCUGAUCCAGCAAUGCCGCGUGCAGGAUGAAGGCCUUCGGGUUGUAAACUGCUUUUGUACGGAACGAAACGGCGAGCUCUAAUACAGUUUGCUAAUGACGGUACCGUAAGAAUAAGCACCGGCUAACUACGUGCCAGCAGCCGCCGUAAUAC